GGCCAGAGCAGACGGGACCAGGGCACUUCUGUUUUGUUCCAAUAGAAGAAAUCAGGUACAGCUGAACCAAAGGCUGAGGGAGGACCCAGCAAGACAAGACCACAAUCUCUUGCCCGAUUUCCAUUCCCUAGUCAAUCUGUAGAUGCAGAACCCAUUGGCUGAAGAACUGGCUAAGCCCCAAGGAAGGGGGCCCCACAAUAUAACAAUCUGGAAGCUGAUUUGAUACCAGACACUUGAAAGUCCCUACUAUAGCGGGACCUUGCAAGCCAGGGGAUAAUGGUGUCCCAUCCGAGGUCCACCCUUCUGUGAAGCCAUGGAGACCACAGACCCGCUAGAAAAUUUCUUUGAUCCUCAGGUCCCCAGGCUACGAUCCACCCCAUCCCACCCCUCUUGGCUGUCGGCUGCAGACCAGAUGUGUGGACAUGUUCAGGUUGCGACAGGAAAAGGAAACGCUGUGCUCAGGUUUCUGUUUCAAGACCCCUGGUGCUGAUGAGUGGUCUGGCCCCAGGGAAUUCUGGGUCUACGCAGAGAAAACACGCGCCUUCCCGGUCAUCCUGCCCCAAACCUGGGUAAGUCCCAUUAGUUCUCUGAGCUUCCGGUUCCCC